CCUGUUUAACAAAAACAWGUCUUUUUGAGUUAUUUUUAAARUCUGACCUGCCCACUGAGUAUUUAAAUGGCCGCAGUAUACUAACUGUGCAAAGGUAGCAUAAUCAUUAGUCUUUUAAUUGAAGGCUGGUAUGAACGGUUGGACGAGGUAUAAGCUGUUUCAUAUAAAAUUUUAUUAGAAUUUUAUAUUUUAGUCAAAAAGCUAAAAUAUUAUUAAAAGACGAGAAGACCCUAUAAAUCUUUAUAUUUUACAUUGUUUAAAUUUUAUAGAUUUGUUUUAUUUUUAUAAUAUGAAAUAUUUUGUUGGGGUGAUGUUAAAAUUUAAUGAACUUUUAAUUAUUUAAAAUCAUUAAUUUAUGAAUUAUUGAUCCAUUAAUAGUGAUUAUAAGAUUAAGUUACUUUAGGGAUAACAGCGUAAUUUUUUUGGAGAGUUCAUAUCGAUAAAAAAGUUUGCGA
rnacentral:rRNA from 1 species